GGCGGGGGGUUUGUCCUCACACCAGGGCUGGGAAUCAUGGAUUUAAUCACUUGGGAAGUAGCAUAAAGUAGGGCUGGGUCCAGGCAGACUUGAAAAUCUUGUUUGAAUUUUUGUUCAUAACUCUGUAAGCUACCCACAUUGUCGCUCUGCUGGUGUUUUUUGCUCUGGGGACCUGAUCGAGGUAGGGGUGGGGAGGAAUAAGGUCUGAUACACAUGACCGCCCUUCAGUCAGGUUCUCUGUGGACGGGGUUUUUUGUACUCCGUUGUCAGCUUGACAAGGAGGACCCAGCUUUCUCUUUUCGCUUCAAGCUGCCUCGAGGUACCCAUGAGUGCAAUGUUUCUUUGCUUUAACCCUCGGAACUGUGAUUGCCCAAGUCCCCAGGGGAAAGCCUGAAUCCAGAACACAGCCGUGCAACCAACCAAUUCCUGUUAAAAUACACGUCCAUGGAGAGCAUUUGGCUGACACAACACACGUUGGAGGCUGCACACAGAUGGAAAAUUGGAGUGAUAUGUCUGUAAGCCAAGGAACACCAAAGAUGGCCAGCAAUCCACCAGAAAUCCAAAAAAGCCAAGGAAGGAUUCCUCCCUAUAGGUCUCAGAAGGAGCACGGCCUGGCAGACACCUGGAUUUUUUACUUCCAUCUUCUAGAGUGGUCUCUGGCCCAGACUCUAUUGAGGAUUCACCUACUGGACAAGAAACUGUAGGAAGUGCACCCCAUCACCACCUGUCCAACACAGAUCAAGCCCACCAGAGGUGGCGUUGGGUGGAAUUCAGCACAGUUACACACGUACUCCUGCCUCCAGAAUUCAUUCACACCUUCAGACAACAGUCUCAAUGAAAGCAACUGGCUUCAUGGAAAUAGGGCUUCUGGAUUGACAGCAUUUUUACCAAAUUCCUCUCUGAGCUGGAUCCAGGUAGAUUCAUCUUAAAAGGACAGGCCAAAUCUGGUGAGAGCCCGAAUGAACACAGAAGACACUCAUGGGGGAAGGUGUGUCUGUUGCUGAAGAGGGGGUAAGGCAACCCAAAGGAGCUCUAUGGGAUGGUGACAAGGUCCAGGCAGAACAGGAGCCUAGGAGAACAGGACAGGGUGUUCAAAAGAGAAGGUGUGACAAAGCAAGCGUGCUGGGGUCUUGUCCCUUUGGAUUCUGAUCUUGUGGCCCAGGGGUGGAGGGCUGGCUUAAAGAAAGAGGACCAGGCCAGACAGCAAGAGAAACAGGACUCGCUGUCCCCUCCAUAGAGCUAACAAGGAUUCUCCCUGUGUCUUUCACGGGCAAGGAUGCCAGAUAAAAUACAGAAUACUCGGUUAGAGCAGAAUUUCAGAUCAACACUGGAUGAUUUUCAGUAUAAGUAUGCAAAUACUGCAUGGGACAUACUUAUGCUAAAAAUGUACUCAUUGUUAAUCUGGAACAUUGAUUUAACUAGAAUCUUGUAUUUUUAUUUGCCAAGUUUGGUAAUCCUAUCCCAGGCAACAAAGCAAGUACCUCCUGCGGCAUCACACAUCUCGUCAAUACUCAAUAUAUAUCCACAUCCAGGAGAAAAAAUCUACAGGGCUGCAGAGAAAAGCAGGGCUAUUUGAACAGGCAGAAACAUGGUAAAUUAAGCUCCUCUUCCUGCCUCAAACAGCUUGAAGGUCAUGGUGAUGACAGCCCUUCAGAAACUCAAUCCAAACAGUCUUUCUUUUUUUUUUUCCAGACCAAUUCCUAGUAAGUUGCAGGAGAUUUCAACGUCUUUCAUGAUUACUAACUGAAGACACCAUCUUGAACGUAGCUUGCAAUGCCAGGAACGUGGUUUGGGUCUCGGCCCAGUGCAGUUUUUCCCAGAGCUAUCAUAAGGAAGUAGUCACGAAACAAAAUGAAUCUAUGGUUGAAAACUGCAGAGCUGACCCACAAUAUUUUUAAUGUGUGGAACUAGCUGGCAAGCUGAGAGCCCGAGAAAACAAAAAGAGCUGCUGGCUUCUUUGAAAUGCCCAGAUCCUCAAAGUGUGGCUUUUCCUUCAUGCUAUUAGAUGGGUUCCAAUGGGCAGAGGGU